rnacentral:tRNA from 1 species
GGGGCCGUAGCCCAAUUGGCAGAGGCACACGGUUUAGGUCCGUGCCAGUGUGGGUUCGAGUCCCACCGGCCCCACCC